rnacentral:lncRNA from 1 species
UGAUUCCUCCUUUUCCACUACCUUGAACAAGACUCUGUACUCGUGGAGAUGAAGUCAGCUUCACAUUGGUAGAAGAAGGCAAUGAGUAGCGCCUAGGUAGACCAUUCUUCUCGUAUGCAUCUUGUCCAAACCUCGGCGAGACUUGACCUCGUGCCUUAGCCUUGGCAGACUCAGUUGCUGCCAUGUAACUGGGGACCUUUGUUUCAUUAGUUAUGCCUACAUCUUGUUCAUCAUGCUUUGCAGGUAAAGAAGCUCUUCUCUUGUUAAACUUGGAGUUCUCAUUGCCAUUUUGAUCAUCCUUAGACUUUAUGACACUAGGGACAGCUGCAUCUCGAUCGUCAUGCAUUGGAGGUAAAGAAGCUCUUCUCUUGCUAACUUUAUGGUUCUCAUCGCCAGAUAGAUCAUCCUUAAUAUUCUUAUCCACAACCAGAAUAUUCUCAUUUUCCUCACCAAAAAUUUUAGGUUGCCCAUCAG